AUUGAACGCUGGCGGCAGGCCUAACACAUGCAAGUCGAGCGGCAGCGGGAAAGUAGCUUGCUACUUUUGCCGGCGAGCGGCGGACGGGUGAGUAAUGCCUGGGAAAUUGCCCAGUCGAGGGGGAUAACAGUUGGAAACGACUGCUAAUACCGCAUACGCCCCACGGGGGAAAGCAGGGGACCUUCGGGCCUUGCGCGAUUGGAUAUGCCCAGGUGGGAUUAGCUAGUUGGUGAGGUAAUGGCUCACCAAGGCGACGAUCCCUAGCUGGUCUGCGAGGAUGAUCAGCCACACUGGAACUGAGACACGGUCCAGACUCCUACGGGAGGCAGCAGUGGGGAAUAUUGCACAAUGGGGGAAACCCUGAUGCAGCCAUGCCGCGUGUGUGAAGAAGGCCUUCGGGUUGUAAAGCACUUUCAGCGAGGAGGAAAGGUUGAUGCCUAAUACGUAUCAACUGUGACGUUACUCGCAGAAGAAGCACCGGCUAACUCCGUGCCAGCAGCCGCAGUAAAAC
rnacentral:rRNA from 1 species